rnacentral:rRNA from 1 species
UGUUCGUUAUUUAGGGCGCAUGGUGGAUGCCUUGGCAUGCUGAGCCGAUGAAGGACGUGUAAGGCUGCGUUAAGCCUCGGGGAGUUGUCAAUAAAGCGUUGAUCCGAGGAUGUCCGAAUGGGGAAACCUGGCACCUGUUAUGGGGUGUUACCCUUCAGUGAAUUCAUAGCUGUUGUGGGGGUUUACGCGGGGAAGUGAAACAUCUCAGUACCCGUAGGAGAAGAAAAUAAAAUAUGAUUCUGCUAGUAGUGGCGAACGAACGUGGAUGAGGCUAAACCGUGUGCAUGUGAUACUUGGUAGGGGUUGUGUGUGCGGUGUUGUGGGCCCCAAUGGACGGUGACUACCAUCAUCGUGCUUGUGUGUUGUUGUUAGGUGAAGUGGUGUGGAAACGCCUACCGUAGAGGGUGAUAGUCCCGUAGUUGAAGGCUGCAAUGCAUGGGUUGUUGGGUUGCCCGAGUAGCAGCGGGCUCGUGGAAUCUGCUGUGAAUCUGCCGGGACCACCCGGUAAGCCUAAAUACUCAGUGUGACCGAUAGUGUAUGAGUACCGUGAGGGAAUGGUGAAAAGUACCCCGGGAGGGGAGUGAAAUAGUUCCUGAAACCAUGUGCUUACAAUCCGUCAGAGCACUUUUUGUUGUGUGAUGGCGUGCCUUUUGAAGAAUGAGCCUGCGAGUCAGCGGCAUGUCGCGAGGUUAACCCGUGUGGGGUAGCCGUAGGGAAACCGAAUCCUAAUGGGGUGUUUUAGUGGCGUGUCCUGGACCCGAAGCGGGGUGAUCUACCCAUGGCCAGUGUGAAGCAGUAGUAAGAUGCUGUGGAGGCGCGAACCCACGUAGGUUGAAAACUGCGGGGAUGAGCUGUGGGUAGGGGUGAAAGGCCAAUCAAACUCCGUGAUAGCUGGUUCUCCCCGAAAUGCAUUUAGGUGCAGCGUCGCAUGUAGCUUGGUGGAGGUAGAGCUACUGGUUGGUUGAGCGGGACUACAAUCUUAGCAAUGUCAGCCAAACUCCGAAUGCCAUCAAUUGUGUUGUGCGGCAGUGAGACUGUGGGGGAUAAGCUUCAUAGUCGAGAGGGAAACAGCCCAGAUCGCCGGUUAAGGCCCCUAAGGGUGUGCUAAGUGGAAAAGGAUGUGGGAUCGCGAAGACAGCCAGGAGGUUGGCUUAGAAGCAGCCAUCCUUGAAAGAGUGCGUAAUAGCUCACUGGUCGAGUGGUCCUGCGCCGACAAUGUAGUGGGGCUCAAGCACACCGCCGAAGCCGCGGCAAACUUUUUU